rnacentral:rRNA from 1 species
UUGAACGCUGGCGGCAUGCUUUACACGUGCAAGUCGAACGGCAGCACGGGGGCAACCCUGGUGGCGAGUGGCGAACGGGUGAGUAAUGCAUCGGAACGUACCGUGUAAUGGGGGAUAACGAGUCGAAAGACUUGCUAAUACCGCAUACGCCCUGAGGGGGAAAGUGGGGGAUCGUAAGACCUCACGUUAUACGAGCGGCCGAUGCCGGAUUAGCUAGUUGGUAGGGUAAAGGCCUACCAAGGCGACGAUCCGUAGCUGGUCUGAGAGGACGACCAGCCACACUGGGACUGAGACACGGCCCAGACUCCUACGGGAGGCAGCAGUGGGGAAUUUUGGACAAUGGGGGCAACCCUGAUCCAGCCAUGCCGCGUGAGUGAAGAAGGCCUUCGGGUUGUAAAGCUCUUUCGGCCGGGACGAAAUCGCUAUUCUUAGUACGAGUAGUGGAUGACGGUACCGGAAUAAGAAGCACCGGCUAACUACGC